CCUCUUGCCUGUAGAAGGAAACCAGAGCACCCAGAGAAAACCCACGCAGGCACAAACGCCAUACAGACUAAUCAGGGAUCGAACCCACGUUCUCUCUCACCUCGCAGGUGCUGUGAGGCAGCAGGGCUAUAGCACCAUAGGCUACAUCUAUGUUAAUUAUCAGUUAUUAUACUCAGUCCUUGUGUUACACUUUUUACAACUUUCAAAGAUAUUAAUUUUAAUUAUGUCACUUAUAAUUUCUAAAAUUCGUUUGUUGCAGAGAGAAAGUGAUGGGCUUCUGUAUGUCACCGUUAACUGGCAGUCAAGGACUAGGAGUGCAAGAAUGCAGAGAAUGAUUAGAACAGAGCAGAGAAAACUCAACGGAAACGUCUACAGAGCCCACCGAUGAGACAGUCUGACCCCCCCCCCACAAAGAUGGAUGGAGCAAAAGCCUGUUCCAUAACCUGUGAGACGAACGGAAAUGAGCGAAGCGACAACGUGCUCUUUCGCUGCAGACAACACUGUGUUCGGGAAGUGAACCACCGAUUCGCAAUGAAAGCACUGUGGUUUGCUACCGUGUCAAAUGUUUUUGGACUUGGCUGCAACUCCAUGAAUACACAAAAUACAAAUAGACAACCAGUUUAAAUAGUUUUCUUUAACAAUUUAAUGAACGCUAAACCAAAAUUAUUAAAAUACUUUCAAUUUCUCUUUGAAUUUAGUACACUGGUUUGGAUUUUGUCAUAUUUUCAAUUCAUGCUUUCUUUUAAAAUAAAAGGUUCACUGCCAUUUGUGAAACUGAGACCAUAAGGGGUACAUUUUUCAUGGUCAGACUUUUAAUAAUAAUAAUAACAAUAAUAAUAAAAAAGGGGUCUCCGAUUUGGCCAAUACACCUGCCACAACUAACAUGUGAGAGCAGUCAUCUGACUGGCCUGGAUCUGAACAUGUGAUCAAUAUGGAGGCCAUGUACCUUUUUGGGAACAUGGUCACCAGUGUGGCCCACCAGUCUUCAAGGGUUUGAUAAACUUUACAACACAGAUAAAUAAAAGCUGAUAUAAAACAGUGGCCAGAAUUUCUCAUUACAGACAAUCAGAAACAGAGAAGCAGCACUUCUGGUAUUCAGAGUCAUGUACACAGACAUCACCCAUCGUAGACCGGUCUGUUCUGGGGGUCCAAACCCCCUCCCUUGGCGCUCUGUGUGAUAGUCAGAUGGGUCAGCUCAACCGUGAAGGUUCCUCAAGUGUUUUAACAAAAUAGUUUUGUUCAUCAGCACUCGUUUUAGUGCGAUACCAACAAUCGUAUUAGAACCAAACCACAGCCCAAAUGGGGGAGGGGGAGGUGACCGCGACAGUGGUCAAAGGACACCGGCUUCCCAAAUCCAGAGAAAAACUCCAGGAAAUGUUCACUGUGGUAAUUAUUUGACAUUAACACUGACUAAUCAGAGUUAAUUACCUUCAAAACAUAAAUAGUCAUGAUCUAAUGUGACAUACAAACACUCAUUGCUUGACUCUUGGCCAUCUUAAGAGGCGUGGCUUAAAUCUACACUGUGCAUCUAAAAAUAAAGUGACAAUUCAAGAACAUGACAGCAUGUUAAACAGACGAAACAAAACAGAAAUGCAUGAAACCAAGUUGCUGCGAAACUGAAGUUUUCUGCGAAAGUCGGACUGAACACUGAAAGAGCACCGAGCGCUGCCUUGCAUAGGAAGCAGAUGAUCCUCAGCCCAUUUCUACCAGAAAACCAUCUUCUGUACGACAAACAUUUUCAGUUCAAAACGUUUUACCAAAAAAAAAAAAAAAAAAAAAAGGAAAUUUAGAACCUGAACAUGCUACAAUAGAGCUGAACAACACUGGACAGUUUGCAUAUUGUUACCAUGGCAACAGCCACAUGGGCUGGGGCAAGUGGUCCAGCAUAACUGGGGGUCUAAUCCAACUGGGAUUCAGCUCACACCUUGGAUGCCUCUCUGAGCCGAACCCGGCGCCGACUUCCAAAGGUCAGCGUACGAGAGCUGCUGUCUGCAGGGCGGAUAAACGCGGUCAUUUCACAGGACGACCACAGCAGCUUCACCCAGUUUUGCACACCCACCCUGCUCUCCAUUUCAAUGCCGCUCCAGUCGACUUGACCAGUUUCCGGUUUCAUCCCAAAAACAGGCGGCUGUGAAACACCCUUAAAACGCCACAUGAAAUGAAGUGCUCUUUCCCCCCAUUUUUAUUACAUUUACUAGCAGAAAAAGCAAUAAAACCAAGAAAUAAAAUGCUCUCCUGUGUGUUGCCUACAGUCUCGAUCACUCUCCAGUGUUUGCAGCGAAGGGAUCGGAUCCCUCGCCACAUCAGGGCAGUUUCACAGGCCCCAGGCGGGACUAGAACUGAUGCCAACAUCUAGCGAAGAAGCCAAACCCGGAGCGCACCGGCACAGCUGACAUGUCCGUUACUGACAGUAGUGAAGACACACAGGACAACACACACUGUGCAAACACUGCUGGUUGUCUGCUGCAAUUUAAGACACUAAAAAGCCUUAGCUAAUAACCCCGACCUCCUAAACCUAGAAGCAGGACCCCCCCUCCCCCCGCAAACAGGUACGAAAUCCCCUUUUGUCCAGGUACAGGCCUGCAGGAUCUUCCCACCUGAAACCAUCCCUAUUAUUAUCUUAGAGUGAGGAGUAAAGGAGAAGGAAGCACUAGCUGCAGCAGAAACACCCAUUCAGAAACUUUAAUCCAAAACAUUCGCAAUCGCCGCACCCAGAGUGCCCACCGCUUUCUCCUGGACAUCCGGAAGCAGCCAGCAAGUGGACCGCAAGAAGAGCACAGCGAUACGGCAGUGCGCUCCCAUCCCAUCACCGCGGGUUCUGAAACGAAACAAGAAAGGGCGGAGCACACGGCAGAUCCUUAACUGCCAUCCCUCCAAGCUCUAGAGUCUCAUAAAGCCAACAGGCGCGGUUAAUAAACCUCCUGAACACGCAGCACAGGUGGCAGGGGAACGGUGAAUAAACAAGGACCUCAGCAACAUUUGGCAAUGAAAAGGUGCGAACCCAUUUUGUCACCGCAUGGCUUCCCUAGUUCUACCUGAGUGAUUAUUCAUGCGUAAGGAAAGAGCCCAGAGCCACAAUUCGCAGGGGAUACUACAACCACCACUUAUUCCAAAUAGCUCUGUUCAAAACAAGUCUAAAGUGCAAAUAAGUCAAACAGAACACGGAGAAGGACUUGUGGGACAAGCAAGAGGAGGACCGUUGGGGAGUUGGGUUGUCGAGGGGCCGAGGGACUGCUGACCCCCACCCAGCCACAGUACU